GCUAGCGUAGCUUAACUAAAGCAUAACACUGAAGAUGUUAAGACGGCCCCUAGAAAGGGCCCGAAAGCA
rnacentral:tRNA from 1 species